rnacentral:tRNA from 1 species
UCCCUGGUAGCUUGGAGGGUAAAGUGUCUGCCUACAAUGCAGGAGACCCAGGUUCGAUCCUGGGUUGGGAA